AGGACGAACGCUGGCGGCGUGCUUAACACAUGCAAGUCGAGCGGAAAGGCCCUUCGGGGUACUCGAGCGGCGAACGGGUGAGUAACACGUGAGUAAUCUGCCCCUAGCUCUGGGAUAGCUCCGGGAAACCGGGAUUAAUACCAGAUACGACCACUUUAGACAUCUUCUGUGGUGGAAAGAACUUCGGCUAGGGAUGAACUCGCGGCCUAUCAGCUUGUUGGUGAGGUAACGGCUCACCAAGGCGACGACGGGUAGCCGGCCUGAGAGGGCGACCGGCCACACUGGGACUGAGACACGGCCCAGACUCCUACGGGAGGCAGCAGUGGGGAAUAUUGCGCAAUGGGCGAAAGCCUGACGCAGCGACGCCGCGUGGGGGAUGAAGGCCUUCGGUUGUAACCCUUUCAGCAGGACGAAGCGAAGUGACGGUACCUGCAGAAGAAGCGCCGGCUAACUACGUGCCAGCAGCCGC
rnacentral:rRNA from 1 species